UUAGAUCAUCCUGUCCGAGGUGCCGGCGCGCGACGAACGCGCCGGAGAAUUGGGAAGCCGGUGAAAGGCCGGCGCUGCCCCCGCAACGGUAGCGGAGCUGAACGUCUCGACGGGAGACCACUGGGUGCCGAACCCGGGAAGGUGUCGAGACAGUCCGACAGGACGGCUCCGGAGCCCGGAAACCAGCCCUGGACAUGAUGAACUC
rnacentral:ncRNA from 1 species